rnacentral:lncRNA from 1 species
CCCACUAAUAAAGGAUUAGAACGCAACUCACCGGUUAAGCCCGAAAAUUGGCUCACGGCGACGACGGCGCAACGGCGGCCGAGACUUGAACUCACGGCGAGACCAAGGGACACUCGGAUCGAGUGAAAACGGCCAACGAACUUGCUGUUCGGGCUAAGAAAACCGGCACAGAAACUGCUGGAUUCGGUCUUGAAUCAUGAGGGGUUGAAGCGGGUCUUCGAGAGCGCUGGCCAAGCAAAGAAAUCGCGGCCAAAAUAAGAAGCCGAUGGUGGAGAUGGACGGCUUGGACGCGUGCUGCUGCAGGGGGAGUCAACAAUGGAGGAAAAACUCCUUUGGUUGACUGAAGUUUAUGCGUGGCCUGAAGAGGAGAAUCGGUGGGUGGAGGUGGCGUGAGAGGAGAGGGAAAUGGAGGCUUCGUUGGAGGCGUGAGGCAGGGGCUGAGCAGAAACGGUUUCGGUGGAGGGGAUGAGCGGCUUCGGUGGCGUCGAUUCAAAGGGAGAGCAGUGGUCUUCGCCAGAAACAAAACAGAAGAAAAAGAAAGGCAGCAGGAGAAAGAGAUGAAUGAAAGCGAAGCAACACCGUGAAG